rnacentral:rRNA from 1 species
UACGAAGGGGGCUAGCGUUGUUCGGAUUUAUUGGGCGUAAAGAGCUCGUAGGCGGUGUGUCGCGUCGGCCGUGAAAACCUGCAGCUUAACUGUGGGCUUGCGGUCGAUACGGGCAUCACUGGAGUUCGGCAGGGGAGACUGGAAUUCCUGGUGUAGCGGUGAAAUGCGCAGAUAUCAGGAGGAACACCGGUGGCGAAGGCGGGUCUCUGGGCCGAUACUGACGCUGAGGAGCGAAAGCGUGGGGGAGCGAACAGG